rnacentral:misc_RNA from 1 species
CCGAGUUUACAACUCCCAAACCCCUGUGAACAUACCACUUGUUGCCUCGGCGGAUCAGCCCGCUCCCGGUAAAACGGGACGGCCCGCCAGAGGACCCCUAAACUCUGUUCCUAUAUGUAACUUCUGAGUAAAACCAUAAAUAAAUCA